GCAGUUGUGGCCGAGUGGUUAAGGCGAUGAACUAGAAAUCCAUUGGGGUCUCCCCGCACAGGUUCGAAUCCUGUCGACUGCG
rnacentral:tRNA from 1 species